CUUUUAAAACACUGUGUUGAUGGGUUUAUAAAGCCAUCAAGAUGUUUCCUCAAGACUUGCGCACUUUACUGCGUAUGUGCUUUGCUGUGCAGAGCGUAACGAAGUGUGUCGGCAGGUCCUGCGUGGAGGCUGGUCUCCAGUCUGUGAGGAUUGCGCCAGAGGUGCUGUAAAGAAUCCUGCUUCAGUGGUUGCUCACCAACAGUCGGUCAAAGGAGGCUUGUUUCUCAGGGCUCCUUGAGGGCGGGGACUAUUCUCCAUUGUGACUCAGCGCCUGACACAUCUGAGUGCUCAGAAGAUGUUUGCCACGUGAAUGAAGGCCCUCUUCCUGACCGUGGAGAGCGCAGAUUGAAGCCACUUCCCUGGGUUUAGGGCUUUUGCCAUGUGUGACCUGGAACUUUGGUCUUUAGGACCAACCCCUGACCUUGUAGAGGGGCAUUUGACCUUGAAGAUCAACAUUCCAGGAUUACUCCCAACCCACUCUUUCUUCUAGGCUACAGGAGCCUGUGAGCUGGUUCUGAUGACAGGUUUGACUUGGUCUCUGAUGUGCUUACGUCUGCCUGGCUCCCUCUCCACGCAAACCUGGGCAUUUGCCUUCUUCCCGCUGGUACUGUCCUACCCCCAAGACCAGAGUCUGCCCAAGAGGCACAGUCUAGUGAUUGGUGCCCUGCAACCAGCUGAUGCUUAUCUGAUGCUAAUUCCCUGGAUUUCUAUUACAGUAGGGCUCCGCCUGCCUCGCAGGGCAUCCUGCGACAUCAUGUUAGUCCUUCAAGACUCACUGUAACCUUGUCUAUAACCUGAGUCAUUGCUCUGCUCUUCCCGGAGACUGUCUUCUCUUAGUCAGACCAGGUGCUGUCCUGCUACCUGCUGCUGCUCAUUCCUCAAGCGCCUGCCACACUCCAGCUGACAGAUCCAGUCCAGAUCCUGGGCCUCCCAAUCUACCCAUCCCACUGCUGGGCCGAGCCCAGACCUCAAAGUGAUAGAAAUGUGAAUGCACUGAAAACAGGCGCAGCCCUGAGCACGGACAGAGCAUGACUCAAGUGUAGGGGGACAAAGAUGUCCAAAUGCCACAGUGGAUGCCUACCACAGCAUGGCCAUGUCCACACCCAGGAUCUGAACCAGCAAACCCCCGGCCACUGAGAAGUGGAAUGCGUGAACUUAACCGCUGCACUACCCGGCCGGCCCCAGGAAAUUAGCUCUUUGUCAUAUGUGUUAUAAAUAGUUUCUUCAGUUUUACACUUGUCUUUUGUCUUUGUUCAUUAUAUUUUCCUGAAAAAAUUUAAAAUAUGUAAAAUUGAAUAUGUGCAAUUAAAAGACAUGCAUACAGUUCAUAUAUAUGUACAUAUGUAUUAUGUAUACCAUGAGUUUAUGUUCCUAUCCAAAUUCGACAUCACAAGUUUUUUGCCCACCUUCCCCCAUUCCCCAUUGUAUCUCUCUUUUCCCACAGAAAGCCUUGUUCCCUAAAACACUAAUAAAUUUACUCAUUACUCUUCCUACAAUACAC
rnacentral:lncRNA from 1 species